AUUUUGAUAAACUACUAAUAAUAAAGUAUAAAAUUGAACAAAAGGGAACAGACACAUCCAGACGCGCACGCUAUAUCAAAUUUCAUAGUGAUCUACCAAACAACUCCCGCGAAUACGCUAAAUCAGGCCAAACGUACACAUAUUAAAACAUAUAUACAUAAUCAUAAAUUCAAUCAUAAAUUCAAUUUAGCGAUUUUCACGAAGCUCCUACAAGCAACACCAGACAUACACAAUCAAACAAAUUCCACCAUACGCCACACAUGCACCCAUUAAAGCACACAGUAUCCUAUAACCAAUACCUCUUUAAUCACAACUUCAAUUUACCAAAAUUCACGCUACUCCCACAAACAUCUCCUGACGUACGGAACUAAACAAUCGCGAACAUACUCCCACCUCUCGCGAACGGAAUUUGGUUACCAAUUUUCGUAGCAAUUUUUCGACACGCGAGAGCACCCCGAGAAUCCUCCAAAAUGCAACAAAAUGGGACCGCGGGGAGUAACGAAUUUCGACAGCAAUACUUCGCUAGUGUCGAGUAACAAUCGGUAAAGAUGAAAAAAAAACAAAAAUAGUCGGAGAAAAUACAGACAGGGAAGAGGAUAGGUAGAGGGUUUUGCGCGUAGGCUGACUAGAGCGACGAGGAGAGGGAGAGGGUGUGGGCAGAGAGGACAGGCGGCUUGGUUAGGGGUAGGUGGUAUCGCUGGCGGAGGGUGGAGAAGGACCUGCGCGCGAAUUUCCCGCGUUCGCUCAACCUCAUAUUGAUCCCACCCCAGUAACUCCCCGCAUCCUACUAUAACGGGCUGGCUAGGGGUCGUGGAGACGUGCCGUGGGGCCAGGGGGGGUGGACCAGGGGAGUGUGGGUGGUGGUUCGUCGGCGUAUACACAGUACAGGGGAGAAUACGGCGAAGGGAAUCAGAGAAUCGUGGACUUCGGGGUGGUCCAGCGCGUAGUCGUGGUGCUCGAGCGUCGAAAUCCGCGUCGUCCUGCGAAGGUGUCCUGAUCGCGUCGGUUGUAUCAUCGCGAAUCGUGCUACCGGGUCCCAGGAUAUCGGUGACACGCGUGUUUCUGGUAUCUCUGUGAGAUCGGUCGGGCCAGUGAUCGACGGGAGAAAAGGUUACCGUGGUUCGAAGGAGACUGGCCGAGUGAAAGGAGAGGAAGACGUCCGGAGAGAAGAGUUUCCAGCAGAGCCGAUCACCGGUGACUCGUUUCGUUCUCUCGAAGAUCAAAAGUGAAAUAGUAAUUGCCACGUCGACUAACGAUCCUCCCGCGGAAUAAUGCGAAUCCCUUGAUCGAGAGACAUCCCAAACGCGAGAACUAACGAGCAUCGGGGGCGUGGAAGCGUGUAAAAAUAGAGAUCGAACAUUUUUCCGCGAUGAUUCGAUGCGCGAGUUGAAGAGAAUCCAUGGGUCAAGCCAUUCUCCUAUGAUUCCAUUCUGCGUACGAAAAUAUCCACACGAAGAGAGCGGCGCGAUAAAGACGUGAAAAACGAGCCGACGAUCCCCCCAAAUGGAAGAACUGGUGUUUUCGCUCAACGUCAUCCGAUAUCCCAGCCAUCAGUCAGCGAAGUCCCUCCAGUGAAGGUUUCCAUGUCUCUCCGAGCAAGCGUCCCAAUACCCUUAGCUUCCAAGUUGUUUCAAAUGGUCCAAACGCACUGGUAGUCAGUGGACAACUCCCAAAACUGAUACGCGAAGAUCGCGAGGCUGGAUCGUUCAGAUCGCG